AUUUGGUGCGGUACACCUGUCCUCCUGUAUCCCAGGUGUCCUAAGGUGAGCUCAGGGAGGACAGAAACCCCCUGUGGAGCAGAAGGGCAAAAGCUUCCUUGAUCCUGAUUUUCAUUACGAGGUACAGACCAUGAAAGCCUUCUGACCUUUAGGUUUAUUGAAUCAAAA
rnacentral:ncRNA from 1 species